rnacentral:rRNA from 1 species
UUAGUGGCGGGACGGGUGAGUAACGCGUGGAAAACUACGCGUAUACUGGGGGAGUAACACUUAGAAAUAGGUGCUAAUACCGCAUAAGCGCACAGCUUCGCAUGAAGCGGUGUGAAAAACUACUGGUGGUAUACGAUGGUUCCGCGUCUGAUUAGCUAGUUGGUGGGGUAAGUGGCCUACCAAGGCAACGAUCAGUAGCCGGCCUGAGAGGGUGAACGGCCACAUUGGGACUGAGACACGGCCCAAACUCCUACGGAAGGCAGCAG